rnacentral:rRNA from 1 species
CCCUUAGAUGUCCUGGGCCGCACGCGCGUUACACUGAUGCAUUCAACGAGCCUAUCCUUGACCGACAGGUCCGGGUAAUCUUUGAAUCUGCAUCGUGACGGGGAUAGAUUAUUGCAAUUAUUAAUCUUCAACGAGGAAUGCCUAGUAGGCGCAAGUCAUCAGCUUGCGUCGAUUACGUCCCUGCCCUUUGUACACACCGCCCGUCGCUCCUACCGAUUGGGUGUGCUGGUGAAAUGUUCGGAUCGGCCGUUUGUCGCGGUUUCCGCGUCAUGUGGCUGAGAAGUUCAUUAAACCCUCCCACCUAGAGGAAGGAGAAGUCGUAACA